UGCAGCAAAUGAUGUUGACAAAACACAAUUAGGAAACAAUCAGAAAGAGGAGGAUGUGAAUUUGUCGAUACAAAUCUCUAACGAACGUCAUGAUUCAGGAAUUGGUAGUUCAGAUACCAGUCACAGGACUAAUUUAGGAAAUAGAAGGAGCAGCAAAACACCUGAACUACAAGAUCACUCAUUGAGAGGGUUGGAAGUGCUUGGAUUGACGUUUGUGGAACUUCAGACUUGAAAACAAGUGUGUGCAGAUCUUUUGGUGAUGGGCAGCCAGAGGAGCAGACGCCAGGGCAGAUACAAGGAAAGAAGCUCCACAGAUGCGGCCUGACUUGCUCAGUGUUCCCAGCAACUUCUGUUUCUAUUGGAGAAGAAGUCGUUUGAACGUGUGCUGCUCUCUCAAGUGUUAAAUAAUGAUUCACGUAGGCAGGCAGUAUGUAGCUCGUGUUUAUUGCAAAAUCUCUGGAGGCGUCAGAGUGUGAUUUGCAUCUUUUAAUUUGGUUGAGUGGAGAACAUGCAAAACUAAAACAUUUAAGCAUUUUCCCCCACUGACAAAAUAACCAGCUGACUGUCUGUAUGUUAUACUUCCAGUGAUAAGCACCCAUGUGAUUCGGGUUGAUUAGCGGCUUAUCACGCUAGUUGGCUUGGCAGCAAAUUAUGUUUAUAAUAGUACAAAGUUCAGGAAUUACCCUUGUCUACUUCAACAUUUUUAUUAAGGGGAACAAUACAGACUGUGUUGUUCACUGAGGAAGUUCACGAGGCAAAACCUAACAUCUUGUUUUUUCCUCCAUGGAUGUGAAACUUGCAGAACAAGAGCUUUACUGAGUGCCGGUUAGGACACAGCUGCCUCAGGUCUUAUGAAAGCAUUUGAUCGUUGCAGCUGCAUACUUAAAGAUAAGCCGUUGGGUGGAUCUGUGUUGGUUCAAGAUAAUCUUGGGCUAAAGAUGUCUCAGUGGUUGAAUUAUCCUUA